CUCAAGGCUUCUGGGAAGUGAAAAGUAUAUCUUCCUCCAAAAAUUUUAGAUACAUAAAUAGAGCUUUACUGAUUCCAAGAGAUAGUAUAGUGAGAUUAUUGCAACGAAUUUAAAAAAAAUCAUGAUUUGGAUCUUAAUUUGGCAAACUCCCAGCUGUGUGACAUUGGGCAGGUAAGUUAUGUCUAGACUUCACUUUCUUCAUCUAUAAAAUGGGGACAGAGAUUAUGCCUUCUUCAUCGAGUAGUUGUGGAGGUUCAAUGAGAAUAUGAAUUGGAAACACUUAGUAGAACACCUGGCCCCUAGUAAAUACUCAACGAAUGUCAGGUGGUGUUGGUCUUCAUCUUUAUUGUGUGAGAAGGAUGAUGAACUCACUGAACAUAUGAGGAAACUGAGAGGCCAGAGUGGAAGCCAGGACUGUCAUGCAGGUCUCUGACGCGCUGUCAGUUUCUGUUCUGCAGGCUGUGAGCUGAUUUGUACCUGGGAAAGCCAAAGUGUUCACAUAGACUAAGUCAGAAUAAGCUCCUCCAACUCGACUUGAUCCUGGGUGCAGAAAAUGCUGGAAGCCUGACACAAUCACAGCCCAAAGGGAGCAAAUGAAAAGAAAUCCUCUGAAUGAAAUUUGGGGUCUCACUUCGGGCAGCACCCACCCUCUGCAAAAGGGAGAUGUUUCCACAGCUGCUGAUCCUGGAUCCAGAGGCAGCACUCCCUCCACGAGGGACACUCGGGCAUUGUAAACUCAAGCAUCCCUUUGUUUUCCAUUCUUCACUCAGACAUUCCUGAUGACUAACUAGGGAUCAAUAUAAAUCACGUCAUUGUGAUCUCGGGUCUUUUCCUGCUAAAGAAAAGUAGAGAGUAUAAGGAAAUGACGGUGGUUUGAAAACAGAAAGCAAAAGUACUCCCUACAAAAGUUAUCUGGAGCUAUUAGGAAAACAAGGAAGAGGCUCCUGGUGAUUUGGAAGCCGGGCCAAGGUCUAGGAUGCAAUUGAUGUCAAUAGGUCCUUUGCAGGUAGAGGGACAGGAGAAUCCCAGGUGGCACAGGAUGGGAUGGGGUCUCAGUGGGAGCAGUUGCUGCAAUUGCGAAAGAGGAGGAGGAGGAGGAGGAGGGGAAAGAGGCAAUACUUCCAGCCUCCAGGGAAAAUCUCUGUGCUUGCUGCCUUAUCACAGUGACUGGAAAUCCACCCUCAGAUGCACACACAAAGCUGUCAUUAACAGAAGCUUCACGUGCACCCCGGAAAGCAAAAUUGGGCACUCGGCUUCAAAGGAAACGGCUUCUUCCUUCACAAUACUUCAUCACUAAAUGGUUGUCUGGCAUGUUUGUUUUUUCAAAUGUCCACAUUUUAUUUGUCCAACUGAUUGUCUCUUUAUCAGCAGCAGCCAGGACCACAGCUGAACUGUUUGUGAGUUGGUAGUUUAUAAAAUCAAUGCUAAGUCUUUGCUAGUGUUUCUCUAACACGCUCAUUUGUAUUUAUUCGUCUCAGAAGUCAAAGAAAAAAACACAACAUACAAAAGGCAGAGUGGUGCUUUUCUAUGUCAAUAUGUGUUUGAGGACUUUUCUAGCUAAUUGACAUAAACUCGACAGCUAGACCAGAUGACAAGCAAGAAUAUCCAUCCCAUAAUGAGGCUUCCGGCACUGGCUUAAUCAAGUAAAUCCAGAAAACAAGGCUCAAAAUUACUUGAGAAAGGUUUUAAUUGUUUUUGCAUCUUUUCUCUUUUUUCUUUCUCUUAUUUUAGAAAAAUUAUUCUUAGAGGUAGAGUCUCAA
rnacentral:lncRNA from 1 species